CAAUAGCGUAUAUUAAAGUUGUUGCAGUUAAAAAGCUCGUAGUUGGAUUUCUGGUAGGAGCGACCGUGCCGAACUUGAUUGUUCGAGUAUUGUGUUGUCUUCAGCCAUCCUCGUGGAGAACUUUUCUAACAUUAACUUGUUGGGAUUGGGACCCGCGUCGUUUACUGUGAAAAAAUUAGAGUGUUUAAAGCAGGCAUUAGCUUGAAUACAUUAGCAUGGAAUAAUAAGAUAGGACUUUGGUACUAUUUUGUUGGUUUGCAUACCAAAUUAAUGACCAACAGGAACAGUUUGAGGAUAUUCGUAUGAACAUGUCAGAGGUGAAAUUCUUGGAUUUUGAUCAGACGAACUACUGCGAAAGCACUUAUCAAGGAUGUUUUCAUUAA
rnacentral:rRNA from 1 species